rnacentral:rRNA from 1 species
AUGCCUCGAGCGUACGGUACCACGCGAGGAAAAAAAGACCACCGCGCCGCGCCGCGCGUGGGGUGCGGCGCACCACGCCAGCGAAAAAACCACCGCACCGCGCUCGACGUGCAGGCCCCGCACCCGUCUUUCUCCUCCAGCGAAUCGAGCGGGCAGCGAGCGACAGUGAAAGAAACGCUCCCAACCCUAGCCCACCCCGCGACCCUAGUUUCUCAUGCGCCGCCGCCGCCGCCCCCCGCCCGCGUUGGAGAAAGUGAGAGGAAAGAGGAGAGGGAGGUGAGGCACCAGGCAGGAGAGGGUCACAGACUGCUGUCGUCCUGCGCCGGCGAGGUCGGGCGCGACCUGGCGGUUGGUGGCGGCUCGAUCUGCUGCUGGAUCAGGAGAGGAGGAAGGGAGGUGGGGGGCUGGCCGUCUCUGUGCCUCCUCGACGCCGAGCUGCGGCUGCCCCGUGGGCUCUCUCUCUCUCUCUCUCUCUCUCUCUCGAUCUGAGAGGAAACGAGGCAGCCACAGCCUCCUGCACCCCCUUCUCUCUCGCCGCUGCUGCUCCCCAACCACCGUGCUGUGACGUUGCUUCCCCAAUUGGUCGCUGUCUCAUCUCCCCCGACCUCAAUACCGUCCUGGGCGGUGCAGCGCCGCCUCUGCCUCCACCCCCACUGGGCAAGGAGCUCGAGGUGUUUGGGGGAUUCUUGUCCCUGAUGUUAAUUAGGGUGACUAUUUCUGUUUGGGUAAUCCGGGGGACGAAUUUGAUGCUUGUGUUAAAUUCUUGUUGUAUCAUUUUUUGUGCCCAUUAAAUACAUUUACCAUUUUAUGACUUGAAUUUGCGGCCAGAGAGCGUUGAUUUUACCGAAUACAGGUCAAUUAUUCUUCACUAAUUCAUUUCCUUGUAGUACAGUUGUGUUAGUUAUUUGCUUGCAAGAUAGCAUCUUCCUGAAUGAUUUCUUUAUAUUUUUCAGAUAAGGAGAACUUUAACCUUGCGCCCACCUAUGGCAAUGUUGCCCUCUUUAUAUUCUCCCUCGCUCAUCAGCAGCAGCGAUGGUGGCGUCAUUGUCGGCCUUGCAGCAUGUGGCAUAAUCAUGUCCAUUGCCUACUCUGGGGCAGAUCUGAUCUAAGACUUCAAGUGUGGCUACCUCACCCUCUCUUCACCAUGUGCAGUGUUCAUCUCGCAGCUAAAUAGGUUCCAAGUUGGUUAAUGUUGAUUUUUGCUCAUGCACAACCCAUCAUAGGAAUUAGUAGGAUCAUCUUCGAUGGAUGUAAGGACUGCAACAGGUUUCUUUCAGCAGCCUGGGGUUGUUAAGAAGAGGGUCAGGAUUGCUCUGGGCAGAUGCUUAAAUUCCUGGAUGUAAACGCACACUUGUCUCCUACACAGGCCAAAAUACUAUUGGAGAUAAGGAUACCCGCGCUGCUGCUGUUGCGUUUGGUUAGGGAGGGGCUUCUUCGUCUGCUUUGCCGUGCGGUGGCUGUGCGGCUGCUUGUUCCUUCUUUGCUAGGCAGGGAUCGGCUUUGGUGGUGGCAGACGCUGGCAAGUCAUGGGGUUAGAGCAUAGGAAGCUGACAUGGCAUUUGAAACUUACGUGGUCAUUGAAGGGCUUGGCAACAGUGCUUACAGAGUCUGGGAAAGAAAAUAUGGAGGAAUAAGCUACGAUAAUUUUGGUGAAGAACUUUCUUUCCCUAUGUUGUGAAGAGUUUGGUCCUCUGAUAGAUUUGUGUUCUUAGAAAAUGCGAGGAUGAUGACAAUUAUUGUGCUACUGCUAUCUUCUUCAGCUCCUCGUGCUUCCCAAGGUCGCAGGUGUUAGUGGAGAUCGAAGUUCGAAGGAGGCUGCUCGCGAGACGGCUGGGCUUCCUUCAAUAGUGGUGCUAACAUUUUGAAUAAUAAACCGGGAGCUGACAAGCGGUCUGAAUUUCUGCUAGGACAAACGCUACUGGCAAGGGGGCUUGCUGAUGUAAACACCCUUCUCCUUUACUGGUUUAUCUUAGAAGAUCCCCGGAGAGCAAGAAGAGCACCACCAUCUGCUCCAACCCGCCGACUGAUCCGUUUUGGUUCUUAACAGAAUCAACGAGAGACCCCUCCGAGCACAAGGCUAAUUACCAAGAUUAUGAUAUGCUCAAGGUCAGGUUUGCAAAGAGUGAUCGACACACCCAUUGUCGCAUCAUCGUAGGAACCGACAAGACAGCUACCGUAACAACCAACUGGUCUGAGUUCCGCCGCCUUGCAAAAAUCCAUGAAGGAGACAUCUGUGCCUUUCUUUUUCAAGGUCACCACAGAGCAACACCUGGUUCUCAUCAUGCAUUGCCUUUAGAUGAACCAUUGAUAGCAACAGAAGUCGUAUCUAGAUAUCAUCUAGCAUUCUAAGGACUACUAAUCAAGCUCUGUAAUAGGAUGAAGCCUUCCUCUGUUUUUCGACGAUGCUAUCUGUUGCUUUUGAACAGCUACCACCUAUGCUUUUAUCUAUAUAACCUCUGUUGUUGUUCCUCAUCGAUCUAUUAAUAUGCAUAAUGCCACCCUUAUCUAUAA